rnacentral:tRNA from 1 species
GCCGGAGUGGCGGAAUGGCAGACGCGCUGGACUCAAAAUCCAGUAUCCGCGAGGGUGUGUGGGUUCGAGUCCCACCUCCGGCA